AUGGAUGAUGAUGAGGACCAUCUUGCUGGAAGUCUCGAGGCCCAAGAAUUUAGUGAGACUGAGAACACACAAAAGAAACAAGCAAAGAAGCAGAGGAAACAAAGAAAGAAGCGGAGGAAGCAAGAAAGCAAAACAAGCGCAAUACCUUGCUGCGGACUAGACUCUCAGGGCCAUGACAGGUCAAGCCACGGCUUGCUCACCGAAGAAAUUAAGAAGAUUGCAAGUGGCUUAGAUGGGGUUGAGACCACUUAUGGUAAUAGGGAUCAAAAUAGGGUAGCUCAGGUGUUGGCUAAGUUAAGCCUGCAAGAUGCAUCUGUGUCAGUUUAG
rnacentral:rRNA from 1 species